GUGGGUGUAGCUCAGUUGGUUAGAGCGUCAGACUGUGGCUCUGAAGGCCGAGGGUUCGAAUCCCUUCACCCACCCCA
rnacentral:tRNA from 1 species